GACGAACGCUGGCGGCGUGCUUAACACAUGCAAGUCGAACGAAGUGGCGAACGGGUGAGUAACGCGUAAUCAACCUGCCCUUCAGAGGGGGACAACAGUUGGAAACGACUGCUAAUACCGCAUACUGAAGGAGGGGAUGGCGUCUGAUUGGCUAGUUGGGGGGGGAACGGCUAACCAAGGCGAUGAUCAGUAGCCGGUCUGAGAGGGUGACCGGCCACAUUGGGACUGAGGCACGGCCCCGACUCCUACGGGAGGCAGGAGGGGGGAAUCCUCCGAAAUGGGCGGAAGUCUGACGGAGCAACGCCGCGGGAGUGAUGACGGCCUUCGGGUUGUAAAGCUCUGUUAAUCGGGACGCGUUACCGGAAUAGAAAGCCACGGCUAACUACGUGCCAGCAGCCGCGGUAAUUC
rnacentral:rRNA from 1 species